rnacentral:rRNA from 2 species
AGGUGUGAUCAUACCAGCACUAAUGCACCGGAUCCCAUCGGAAUGCCGCAGUUAAGCGUGCUUGGGCGAGAGUAGUACUAGGAUGGGUGACCUCUUGGGAAGUCCUCGUGUUGCAACUC